rnacentral:lncRNA from 1 species
AGUAAAGGUUAUUUAAAAAUGUAAUCAUGAAUUUAUUAUUAUUUAGAGAGGAGGAUGACUAUAGAUCCUAUCAGAGUGAAGAUGAAGAGGAGCUAGAAGCCCCCUUGCCGUUAAAAGAUGAUUAUGACUGGCAACAGCAGGACUCUUUUCUAUUUCCUCCACAUUACCGGCACAGCUGUGAGCUUCAUGGGGACAUGCACAGGAUGCCCCAAUGUCCCGACACAGCACAGGACGGGGCGGUCAGAUGGCCUCCUCUCUUCUCUCCUCCCAGCUGUCGAGAAUGGGUGGAGCCUGGAAACUGGUAAGUGCAUCUACAGUCAUUGUGAAACAUCAGAGAUGAAAGCCUUUGUUUUCCCUUUAGCUGUUAUGAACGUAGCUUCGGGGAUGACGGUGGGCCUCCGGGGAGCGUCUCGGUCAACGUGCCUCAGUUCUCCACGCCGCCCGUGAACGCCGUCUCCCAAGUGGACAUGGUGAAGCUGAGCUCAGCAGCAGGAGAGUCUUCCUCACAUCUGCAGGGCAGAACAGGAACCAUCAGCCUGCCCGACGAGUGCAGUGAGGCCUUUUAUCUUCACCAAAUCCAAAUGAUUCAUGCUGUACUUGACGUUUUCGUGUUUCCCAUGAUGUAUUUAGACAUCUGGAUUUUGUCAGGCUGCUGAUUUUAGAUCACCUUUUGUUAGAUCACCUUUGUUCUACUUAGUUUAGAGGCACAUUUAAUAAAACACGGUUAAUUAGAGACAGUUUUCAAAAUGCUUUGUUUUUUAUCUUAGGAAAUGUUCUCAUCACUCACUCUUUGGACGUGUCCUCAGAGAUAGCCGCUUUCAGAGACUUCCUCACAAAACAAGGCUUUCGAACAAGUGUGAGCAAAAUCCUAAUCCUUGUUUAUUUUUUAUCUACUUUUUUUAAAAAAAAAAAAACUCUUGAUAAUAUCAGAACCUAAACCUUACCUUGACAGACUGACCUCACUGAUGACUCCACUGGAGAAAUGGACAUCCACAAAUGGAGACAUGCUUUCCUAAAAGAUGUAAGUGAACAGCAUCGGGGUUGUUGUUUUUUUGUGCAACCUAAAAAGCUCCUAAAAUAAGA